AGCACCUUUAGAAGUAAUUGUGUGUCCUUCCAUGCUGCUCAAGACAUUGGCAGGUACUAUGAGCUACUUUUCUUCAAUCUUAUUAAUUAUUAUGUGAGUUCUAGGGCCACAUUUGGUUGAUGCGGGUAUUUUGUACUUGAAAAAUAAAAUGAAGUACCAUAUAAGAUACAUCUAUUCUUUUUCAUAUAUGUCCAUGGUUAUUGUUUAGUUUAGAAAAUGCCCCGUCAGUUCAGCAUUUCUAUUGACAUAGUCUGAUCUGACGGAUAUUCCUAUUCAUAUAUGUGAAUUAUUGUCUAUUGUACAAACACAAGUCCAGUUGUAUUAAUAUUUCCCAAUAUAUUUGGGCAUUUAUUAAAGUAUGUCACACUUUUCUUCUGGCCAUACACGAAGAACCAAUGUAGAGUUCUCUUAGUGAUGAUUUGAGAAGUCUCUGAGUCACAGGAAAUUAUUAUGUUAUGAUGAAUGUGCCAUGAAGGUCAUUUACCAAGUGUGCAGAUAAAAUUGGGGUUGACUGGUAGACAUCUGGCAUUGCACACAAAUGAAUUCACCUUAAUGAGCUGGUUAUUACCAUUAUUGAUAAAUUUUAAUACCAUCUUUAGUUCCUUCCUCUGCAGGUUGUCACCCAGGGGAACUGCACCUAGCAUUACCUGCCAACAUCCAUCACAUAUACCAUUGUGGAGUUGGUCGAGGUUUUGCAGCAUUGCACCUUAAACGAGGAAAAUAAAAAAGCCUUUUUUUAUUCCAUCAUCAAUUCAUCUCCAGCGGCGUGUCAGCUGUGCGAAGACUAAUGCCUCCUGUGGUUUGGUUUGUGGUGGUAAAAGUAAUGAUACUAUUAUUAAUCAUGACACUUUGCAAUUAGUUUUCAUGAGUGCUGCUGUAUCUCUAUCAUGCGCCGUAGCUCUUGCUAUUCUUCUACCCUCAUAGACCUUUUAGUUAAAUAGCACCUACCUAUUGUAUAUAAUUCCACGCCAGAAUGGUUUGGUUUGUUAGAAUGCUAAAUCGCUGUUAAUACUUUCCUGAUAUUCAGUUAAAAAGUUGGGUCCAUUCUUUUGUGUGUUGCAGUCAUUGAGCUUGAACGAGAGGCUUGCGAGCAAUCAAAUCCCAUGGCCAAACACACAUGCACUGCUGGUAACGUGUUCGAUGAAAUGUCCCUAGCACGGCGAUUCAAAGGGUUAAAGAACUAGUAGUUAGAAUAGAAGAGAAGCCUCGUGGAGAAGAAAUCUUUGCUUGGCUGCUGGUACCUGUCUGUUGUUGUUGUUGGUUUCCUUGGUUGCUGGUACCUGUCUGUUGUUGUUGGAGGUGCUAUCUGUUGUUUCUGGUGCCGUAGUUGGCUCAUGUGCCAUGGUGAAUCUGUUGUUGGUACAGUUAGGAAUUUUUGUAUGUCCUGUGGUUUGAAUUUCUGUCAAAUUGGUACUGAAGUUCUAGGUAAUUGAAUUUAUAAUCCUGGUCAAAUUAGUUGAUAAAUCUUGUGGGCUGAAUUGAUCAUUUUGAUAAAUGGGCUUUUCUUGUUGGCUUGUA